UACGGAGGGGGCUAGCGUUGCUCGGAAUGACUGGGCGUAAAGGGCGCGUAGGCGGCUGACAUAGUUAGGCGUGAAAUUCCUGGGCUCAACCUGGGGACUGCGUCUAAUACAUGUAGGCUUGAGUGUGGAAGAGGGUAGCGGAAUUUCCAGUGUAGAGGUGAAAUUCGUAGAUAUUGGAAAGAACACCGGUGGCGAAGGCGGCGACCUGGUUCAUUACUGACGCUGAGGCGCGAAAGCGUGGGGAGCAAACAGG
rnacentral:rRNA from 1 species